rnacentral:rRNA from 1 species
AUUGAACGCUGGCGGCAGGCCUAACACAUGCAAGUCGAGCGGUAGCACAGAGAGCUUGCUCUCGGGUGACGAGCGGCGGACGGGUGAGUAAUGUCUGGGAAACUGCCUGAUGGAGGGGGAUAACUACUGGAAACGGUAGCUAAUACCGCAUAACGUCGCAAGACCAAAGUGGGGGACCUUCGGGCCUCAUGCCAUCAGAUGUGCCCAGAUGGGAUGAGCUGGUAGGUGGGGUAACGGCUCACCUAGGCGACGAUCCCUAGCUGGUCGGAGAGGAUGACCGGCCACACUGGAACUGAGACACGGUCCAGACUCCUACGGGAGGCAGCAGUGGGGAAUAUUGCACAAUGGGCGCAAGCCUGAUGCAGCCAUGCCGCGUGUGUGAAGAAGGCCUUCGGGUUGUAAAGCGCUUUCAGCGGGGAGGAAGGCGGUGAGGUUAAUAACCUCAUCGAUUGACGUUACCCGCAGAAGAAGCACCGGCUAACUCCGUGCCAGCCGCCGCCGUAAAAC